rnacentral:rRNA from 1 species
UACAGAGGUGGCAAGCGUUGUUCGGAAUUACUGGGCGUAAAGCGUGCGCAGGCGGUUGGGUCAGUCGCUGGUGAAAGCCCCACGCUCAACGUGGGAAUGGCCAACGAGACGGCCCGACUGGAGGCAGGGAGAGGCCGGUGGAAUUCCGGGUGUAGUGGUGAAAUGCGUAGAGAUCCGGAGGAACACCAGAGGCGAAGGCGGCCGGCUGGACCUGACCUGACGCUGAGGCACGAAGGCGUGGGGAGCGAACGGG